CUCUAAUUCUCCUAGCCGCCACCUUCUCCUUCCCUGUAUUCUCCUUCACAGCAUCAAUAGCUAGCGGUUCUUCUUCCUCUAGCGAGCAGCAAGCGCAGGGAGCUCAGCUCCUCCCCUCGGCCACCAUGGCGCCCUCUUCCCUGGCGCUUGCUCCCUACAGGAGAGCAGUCCGGCUCCUCAUCCCCUCCCCCUUCUUCUUCCUCUGCCCAGCGCCCCUAUGUGCAGCCCACACCUUCUUCCUCCCAUGGCCGGACCUCUACACCUUGUGCUCGGCGCUCCUUCCCCAAGUCCGGCUGGAGCUUGCCUCCUCCCAUGGCCGCCCUCCUAGCGCACCUCGCCAGCAGCGGGAUUCCUCCUCUCCCUCUUCCUCUGCUAUCCUGCUCGACCACGUGAAGUCGUUGGCCCCUGCUCCAUCCGCCGAUAGCCUCCCUUCCCAUGGGGUCGAGCUUUUCCCCUCGACGUUGGCUGCUUUCGAACGCUGAGCUCCCUACGCUGGGUUCCCUGCAUUUCCCUUUCCUCCAAGCGCUCAGCUGUAGUUACCUCCCCUGGCCCGAGCUCGAACAGCCGGUCUUCUUCCCCAACGUCGGCCUCCAUGGAUGCACGGCUCCCACUCCCAUGGCGCCUCUGCUCCUCCCAUAUAGGGCGUCCGACCCCCUGCUCCUAUCUCCAGCCCCCUCCUCUCUGUUCCUUGCGCAGAGGAAUUUCUUUUCUAAGGCCAACGUUUGUUUUCCCCCGUUUCAUCUCCUCCGCGUGGCAAGGCAGUAGGCAAGCCCCUGCAUCUUGCUCGACCUCCACCUCCGAUCGUCGUCCUCGCGCAGCAGCAGCGACGCCCUCCGCUGUGUCGCGCUCACCAAGGCGGACCACCCGCCGUCGAUCUGCGCAGCCCUAUGUGCCGUCGUCGAAACCCGCGUCCCAUCCGCGACGCCGUCGAAACCCGUGCUAGCCGUCAAUGCCAACCAUCGCGCACGCGUGUUCGAUACAAGACCGAUCGGGUGAACCACGUGCUUGCACAACUCAAAUCCGACCCCGUUCAGGACCGAGAGAUGAUGAUCGUGCACGUGAUGUGGUGCCAACCACAAGAUGCAGUUGGUAGGCGACCUGAAGAAUGAUAGACUUACCCAGAGGAUGCUCUCCAAGCGAGUACCCACCCCAACAAACACUAUCUAAGUGUUAAAUUAAAG
rnacentral:misc_RNA from 1 species